rfam:Paenalcaligenes hominis strain 15S00501, complete genome.
CUUCUUCGACUUGUUGCGGGCAAAUAAAGUGAAUGUGGGUAUCAAUAGCGCCAGCUGUUAGGAUCAUGCCCUCGCCGGCAAUGACUUCGGUAGAGGCGCCAAUGACAAUGGUCACGUUAGGCUGGGUAUCUGGGUUGCCUGCUUUACCAAUGCCUGCGAUCAAACCAUUUUUGAUGCCUACAUCCGCUUUGAUGAUGCCUAUGAUGGCGUCGAUAAUCAGCGCAUUAGUAAUCACCGUGUCCACACAAUCAGCGCUUAAGCGCUGACUUUGGCCCAUCCCAUCACG